CCUGCAUCUUCGUUUCCUCGUGCUCGAGCUGCUUGGGGCAGCAGAGCCGCUGCGCUGGAAAUGGUGAAGGCUUUACCCUCGAAAGCGACAGAGGGCGGAAUAAUUGCACUCUGUACUUGAGGAACAAACAAGGAGCCGUCAAAGCAGGAAAUUCGAGUGAACCCAGUCUGGAAAAGAAGAAAAUACCACUAUUUGCCCGCCCACUGCACACUUUUGGCUGAGAAACCUGCAGCGCCUGUCUGAGCCUGCCCGCAACAGCAGGUUUAGUGGAGACAGAUCUGUACUCUGCAAUGGCUCUGUUGACCCUGCAUAGACUCUCAUCCAUCUCCACUGCUCCAGAUGAAAGCCUCCAAAGAAGAGGGCGACUUCAGAAAAGGGAGAGCUUUGCCCUCGUGAAGGGGGCGGCCCUUCUGCUGGAAGACGGCAAGGGCGGGGGCCUCGAUGAGCAAGCUCCACCUUCUUCUGUAAAAGAAGGCGGUGGAGCUCCACGGCACAGACAACUUCAUGCCAUGGUUGAACAGCUCCGACCAGAAGAUACCAUCAAGCUGGCGGUGCAGUUGGAGUCCAUCAGCUCGGUCAGAGUCAGGUAUCUGAUCAUUGUCUCCACCCUCAGCAACAAACACGAGAGCAUCCUACUGGGCAUGGAUUUCCCCAACUCAGAGAGUGAUCAGUGCACCAUCGGCCUGGUUCUGCCAGUAUGGAGCGACACUCAGGUGUAUCUGGACGGAGACGGUGGUUUUAGUGUUACAACAGCUGAAGAGAUCAGAAUUUUUAAGCCUGUUUCUAUGCAGACUAUGUGGUCAGUGCUGCAGGCGUUGCACGGCUGCUGCGAGCGGGCGGUCAAGGCAGCAGUGAUCCCAGGCAAUGGCCUGGAGUGGGCCCAGCACUACCACCGGCACAUCGAGUCAGACCGCUUCUGCCUCAACGAGUGGGAAGCUAUGAACGACCUGGAGUCAGUCCGCAGGGACAGUAAUGGACAGAGCUCGGCAGACCGCAUUUCCAACGAGGUGCUGAUCAAAGAGCAUCUGAGAGACAUCAUGAGGACUGAAGACCUGGACAAUCUCACGUCCAAAAUGGUGCACUCUGCCCUGGAGACCAGGAUAGGCUUCGACAUGAGACCCUUUAAGGAGUACAUUGACAACGAGAUCCUGGUCACCAUGGCUCAGAUGGACAAACCUUCCAAAAUAUUUGACUACCUUUACCUGGGCUCUGAGUGGAACGCAGCUAACUUUGAGGAGCUGCAGAAAAACAAUGUGGGCUAUAUUCUGAAUGUGACAAGGGAGAUUGACAACUUUUUCCCAGAGUCCUUCACUUAUAUGAACAUCAGAGUGUACGAUGUGGAAUCCACCAACCUGCUCUCUCACUGGACAGACACAUACAACUUCAUCAACACUGCAAGGAAAAGUGGACAGGCCGUGUUGGUGCACUGUAAGAUGGGCGUUUCUCGCUCUGCAUCCACGGUGAUCUCCUACGCCAUGAAGCAGCAGCACUGGCCACUGGAUAUGGCGUUGUCCUACGUUAGGAGUUGCCGGCCCAUUGUCAAGCCCAACGAAGGCUUCAUGAAGCAGCUGCAAACCUACAGCGGCAUCCUCAAUGCAAGCCAGCAGCGUCACAGCGAACUCUGGAGGCGAAAGUCAAGAGACCAAAGACAAAAAUCUAUACGCAAGGAGGAGGCAGGGGAAAAAAGAAAGCCAGGAGAGGGAGGGGUGGAUCAGGAUGAUGAUGAUGAUGAUGAUGAUGAUGAUGAUGAUGACGAUGACGAUGACGAUGAUGAUGAUGAACUUGACAAUUAUGAGCCGGGUGAUGAGGAGGAUGUAGAGAGUCUAGGUAAAAAAGAUUUGGGUAGCUCAGAUGAACUAGAAGAUCCAGAGGAGCACACAGAGGUGUUUGAAGAGCCCCCUCCCCAGUCUGAGAACAACCAGUGGCCGACGGGACCAACAGACGCAUGUCCUACUAUCACAGUCAAUGAACCAGACAAGGUGAUCAGACUGUUGCUCUGAGUGUUAAUCGCAGUGGAAGGAUGAACCUCUUCUCCCUCAUGCAGUCCAUCAGUGAGGAGGAUAAAGGUCGUGAACAGCUGCUUGGCAGUCCGAGGGAGUCUCCUGGGCAACGGAGGCGUAGCCAAGGGCGACGGGGUCUGAUUCACCAGAAAGCAUGUGUGGAUGUCUCACCUGAACCACGAAGCCUGCCAGACGCCGGUCAAAGCAAACCCUAAAGUGUUAAAAGAGACGGAAGAGCAUAGACAGGAGGGAGGGGGACCCAUUAAGGAGGAUUUAAACGGUGGAGAGAAAUAAUUCAGAGAACACCUGAAGGAAUGUACGGCUGGUAAUUUCUAUGCCAAGGUUUUCCUACAAUGAUACACUAUGUUUAUAUUUUAGUUAUUUAGAUGAUGAAAGUUUUAAUUUAUGUUCCCAUGCAUAUCUCUGUUAAUAAUUAUUAUAGCUGAUGGUUCACUGUUGUUUAAAGGAUCUUACUGUAGAGCCAGCAUAUCUGAAGGCUGGAGUCAUUAUCAGCGUACAUGGUAGUAUUAUGUUUAUCAGUGUUUUAGAGUCACACGCAUUGUGUACGUACUGGUUUCUCUCUCCUUGUUCCCUCUCCCCUUGCGUCACCACUUCCGAGAUAUCUAUGCAAUUACUGUUUUCCUUUCUUUUUUUCUGUAUAAGAGUAUGCUGUAACUCCGAGGUAGAUGGUUUUCAUAUUCUUUCUCAUUGGAAGUCUUUUUCACGAGGACCUUCAUUGUUGACGGAUGGGAGGGUUUCACUGUAUGUAAGCUGUGCAUCAUGGACCAAGUCAGGGCCAGUUUUAUGGCACUAACCGGUUCCUAUUCCAAUGUGCCAAUGAAUAUAUUACAAAGAAAAUCUUUUAUCAUGUCAGUAUGUUAAGAACCAAUGUGUCCAAUUUUAGUUUUAUUCAUUGUAUUUCAACACCUCUGCAUGAGUGCCUUGUACCUGAGGAUGAAAUACAACUCAAUGACUGGUGUUUUUUUUGUCUGUUUUUACUACGAUGUGGUGGCUGCAUAUUGUAUGUAUGAAUCUUGUUGUUUCUCUGAUUGCAUUACAAAUGUGACUUCCAAAAGUGUUGCAUGUAGUAUGCGCAUAUAAUUAAUUGCUAAUUGCUAACCCCUAAUUGCUAAUGACCUGGGUGUGUUUAUACCAACAUGCGAGAGCAAAUGUUCAGGGUUUUCUCAUGUAUUUAUAUUGACGUUUAAUGGAUUCAGGUAAAUUAUUAAAAAUACUGCUCUUCUGAUCACUCCAUGCUGAUCUGGACUAUUCAUAUUUCAUGCUGGUGUUACUUUAAGUGAAACCAAGCUAAAGCUGACUUUAUUUAACCUGCAUGCUCGCCGUUAAAAAAACAUGCACUUUAUAAUCCCACAGCACACACUGUCCCCACAGCCUGAGCCUACAUCACACUGUACUAUGAAUGAAAUGAUCAAUUCUUUUCUUCUUUUCUUGUCAGCAUCUCUAUGCCUUAUUGUAUUAAGCUCUCCACUGUCUGCACCUCACUCUUGUUUACAAGAAGCCAUAUGAGUGGAAAAAAAAUAAAUGAUUAUACUCAAACC